rnacentral:tRNA from 3 species
AAUAGGGGGGUGUGUUUGGCACGAAAAAUUUUGAAUUUUUAAGAAAUCUUUUAUAAGGUUCUCUAUUA